rnacentral:rRNA from 1 species
GGGUUGUGAGGUUAAGCGACUAAGCGUACACGGUGGAUGCCCUGGCAGUCAGAGGCGAUGAAGGACGUGCUAAUCUGCGAUAAGCGUCGGUAAGGUGAUAUGAACCGUUAUAACCGGCGAUUUCCGAAUGGGGAAACCCAGUGUGAUUCGUCACACUAUCAUUAACUGAAUCCAUAGGUUAAUGAGGCGAACCGGGGGAACUGAAACAUCUAAGUACCCCGAGGAAAAGAAAUCAACCGAGAUUCCCCCAGUAGCGGCGAGCGAACGGGGAGCAGCCCAGAGCCUGAAUCAGUGUGUGUGUUAGUGGAAGCGUCUGGAAAGGCGCGCGAUACAGGGUGACAGCCCCGUACACAAAAAUGCACAUGCUGUGAGCUCGAUGAGUAGGGCGGGACACGUGGUAUCCUGUCUGAAUAUGGGGGGACCAUCCUCCAAGGCUAAAUACUCCUGACUGACCGAUAGUGAACCAGUACCGUGAGGGAAAGGCGAAAAGAACCCCGGCGAGGGGAGUGAAAAAGAACCUGAAACCGUGUACGUA